rnacentral:rRNA from 1 species
UACGGAGGGGGCUAGCGUUGUUCGGAAUUACUGGGCGUAAAGCGCACGUAGGCGGCUUUGCAAGUUAGAGGUGAAAGCCCGGGGCUCAACCCCGGAAUUGCCUUUAAGACUGCAUCGCUUGAACACGGGAGAGGUGAGUGGAAUUCCGAGUGUAGAGGUGAAAUUCGUAGAUAUUCGGAAGAACACCAGUGGCGAAGGCGGCUCACUGGACCGUUGUUGACGCUGAGGUGCGAAAGCGUGGGGAGCAAACAGG